CUAAAUUCCAUUUCAUUCCAUCUCUCUUCGUUCCGCAAAGCAAUGGCGAACCAAACCGCUCCGCUUCCGCUUCCACGUCUCUUCUUCUUCCUCCUCCUCCUCCUCCUCACGGUGAAGUUCCUCCGGCCCGCCGACGCCGCGCCCCGGAGGAGGAUCCACAUCGACGACGACCUCGACGGCGUGAUCGACGACGAGGAGGACGAGUCCUGGCGGCAAUGGGGACGGAAGUCGACGCCGCCUCCGCCUCCCGACGAUGAGUUCGACCCUCCUCCGGAUCUGUCGAGCGUGGAUUUGGGCCGGUUUCAGGAGGAGAUGAUGAGGCGUCACUCCGGGCCCGCCUUCGGGUUCGUGAAGCUCCGACUGGGCGUUCCUCGGACCCGGGAUAUGGUGUCUGAGAUCGCUAUGAAGUGGACCAAAGUUUUAAAGACAGGAGCUGUUGAGGUGAAGUUCAUGGGCAUUGAUCUUAACACAAUCAUGUUCACCAUGGUCAAAGGCCAAGACACACUAGAGUUGAAGGAGUUUUUGCUGGACCAACCAGAAGCAUAUGAGAUAAAGAUUGGAGAUCAAGCAUUCCGGCGACCCGGAGAUCCACCUCUGGAAGAAGUUUUAGAGAUGCUCCACAAAGAGAAGAAACCCAGUAGAAUCCCUGGAGAAAAUGAAGGGCGGUCGAAGGAAGAAUUGUAGAUGGUAGAAAUCACCUCAAUGAUGCUUCUAACAGAUGAACAGUAAAAUGCUCUGUGCUUGUCAAGGACCAGAAAAGGAAAAAAAGCGAAUAGAAAGAAAGAUAAACCCAGCUUUUAACUUGCUAGAAUUUCCAGUUUUCAAAGAAAUGUUUCCAGCUGAAGCAGGAAACUUCACGUGUAACUACUGAAUCAUGCCCAGCAGUAUCAGCUACGAAACUACAAUUCUAUCUGCAGGAUGAAACCCCCAUAUUCGAAUGAGUUUUAGAUCAGACAUGAUGCCAGUCUGCUGAGGUAAAGUUGCAUGUGGUAGUCAAGAAAUUUCACAAGAAGAAAAGCAGAUUAGAUGCAAUAACCUUUUCGAUUUCUAAUGGCCCUUAUGUAAAAAUAAUUGUGGCCCACAUGAUAUUAUUAAUGGUUUGAUAAUUAUUUAACUGUCAAAGAAACGCAUUGGCUAUGAUAAGUUGCAAUUUUUAUGAA